rnacentral:rRNA from 1 species
AGAGUUUGAUCCUGGCUCAGGACGAACGCUGGCGGCGUGCUUAACACAUGCAAGUCGAACGGUGAAGCAGAGCUUGCUCUGUGGAUCAGUGGCGAACGGGUGAGUAACACGUGAGCAACCUGCCCCGGACUCUGGGAUAAGCGCUGGAAACGGCGUCUAAUACCGGAUACGAGCUGCGAAGGCAUCUUCAGCAGCUGGAAAGAACUUCGGUCUGGGAUGGGCUCGCGGCCUAUCAGCUUGUUGGUGAGGUAACGGCUCACCAAGGCGUCGACGGGUAGCCGGCCUGAGAGGGUGACCGGCCACACUGGGACUGAGACACGGCCCAGACUCCUACGGGAGGCAGCAGUGGGGAAUAUUGCACAAUGGGCGAAAGCCUGAUGCAGCAACGCCGCGUGAGGGAUGACGGCCUUCGGGUUGUAAACCUCUUUUAGCAGGAAAGAAGCGAAAGUGACGGUACCUGCAGAAAAAGCGCCGGCU